rnacentral:rRNA from 2 species
GACAGAGGGUGCAAACGUUGCUCGGAAUCACUGGGCGUAAAGGGCGUGUAGGCGGGAGAGAAAGUCGGGCGUGAAAUCCCUAGGCUCAACCUAGGAACUGCACUCGAAACUUCUUUUCUUGAGUGCCGGAGAGGAAAGCGGAAUACCUGGUGUAGAGGUGAAAUUCGUAGAUAUCAGGUGGAACACCAGUGGCGAAGGCGGCUUUCUGGACGGUAACUGACGCUGAGACGCGAAAGCGUGGGGAGCAAACAGG